rnacentral:rRNA from 1 species
GAUGAACGCUGGCGGCGUGCCUAAUACAUGCAAGUCGAGCGAACGGACGAGAAGCUUGCUUCUCUGAUGUUAGCGGCGGACGGGUGAGUAACACGUGGAUAACCUACCUAUAAGACUGGGAUAACUUCGGGAAACCGGAGCUAAUACCGGAUAAUAUUUUGAACCGCAUGGUUCAAAAGUGAAAGACGGUCUUGCUGUCACUUAUAGAUGGAUCCGCGCUACAUUAGCUAGUUGGUAAGGUAACGGCUUACCAAGGCAACGAUGCAUAGCCGACCUGAGAGGGUGAUCGGCCACACUGGAACUGAGACACGGUCCAGACUCCUACGGGAGGCAGCAGUAGGGAAUCUUCCGCAAUGGGCGAAAGCCUGACGGAGCAACGCCGCGUGAGUGAUGAAGGUCUUCGGAUCGUAAAACUCUGUUAUUAGGGAAGAACAUAUGUGUAAGUAACUGUGCACAUCUUGACGGUACCUAAUCAGAAAGCCACGGCUAACUACGUGCCAGCAGCCGCGGUAAUACGUAGGUGGCAAGCGUUAUCCGGAAUUAUUGGGCGUAAAGCGCGCGUAGGCGGUUUUUUAAGUCUGAUGUGAAAGCCCACGGCUCAACCGUGGAGGGUCAUUGGAAACUGGAAAACUUGAGUGCAGAAGAGGAAAGUGGAAUUCCAUGUGUAGCGGUGAAAUGCGCAGAGAUAUGGAGGAACACCAGUGGCGAAGGCGACUUUCUGGUCUGUAACUGACGCUGAUGUGCGAAAGCGUGGGGAUCAAACAGGAUUAGAUACCCUGGUAGUCCACGCCGUAAACGAUGAGUGCUAAGUGUUAGGGGGUUUCCGCCCCUUAGUGCUGCAGCUAACGCAUUAAGCACUCCGCCUGGGGAGUACGACCGCAAGGUUGAAACUCAAAGGAAUUGACGGGGACCCGCACAAGCGGUGGAGCAUGUGGUUUAAUUCGAAGCAACGCGAAGAACCUUACCAAAUCUUGACAUCCUUUGACAACUCUAGAGAUAGAGCUUUCCCCUUCGGGGGACAAAGUGACAGGUGGUGCAUGGUUGUCGUCAGCUCGUGUCGUGAGAUGUUGGGUUAAGUCCCGCAACGAGCGCAACCCUUAAGCUUAGUUGCCAUCAUUAAGUUGGGCACUCUAAGUUGACUGCCGGUGACAAACCGGAGGAAGGUGGGGAUGACGUCAAAUCAUCAUGCCCCUUAUGAUUUGGGCUACACACGUGCUACAAUGGACAAUACAAAGGGCAGCGAAACCGUGAGGUCAAGCAAAUCCCAUAAAGUUGUUCUCAGUUCGGAUUGUAGUCUGCAACUCGACUACAUGAAGCUGGAAUCGCUAGUAAUCGUAGAUCAGCAUGCUACGGUGAAUACGUUCCCGGGUCU